rnacentral:lncRNA from 1 species
GCGAGACCAUGAACCCACCAGAAGGAAGAAACUCCAAACACAUCUGAACAUCAGAAGGAACAAACUCCAGAUGCGCCACCUUAAGAGCUGUAACACUCACCGCGAGGGUCCACGGCUUCAUUCUUGAAGUCAAUGAGACCAAGAACCCACCAAUUCCGGACACAUUUUGGCGACCAUGAAGGGACUUUCGCCUAUUGCCAAGCGGUGAGACAAUCGCCGAGCAGUGAGACCAUCGCCUAUUGCCAAGCGGUGAGACCAUUGCCUAUCGCCAAGCAAAUCGAGGCCAUCAAGCUACAGAUGGUCUUACAAAUGGAACCCCAAAUGAGUUCAACUAACAACUUCUACCGAGGACCCCUGGACUGACCAGCUGGCACUUCCCCUGGCCUAGAGAGUUCCCCUCUGAAGGACACUACAACUGCAGAGCCCCUUCUUCGCCCCUAUCCAGCAGGAAGUAGCUAGAGCGGUCAUCGGCCAAAUUCCCAACAGCAGUUGGGGUGUCCUGUUAAUUGAGAGGUGACAGCGUGCUGGCAGUCCUCACAGCCCUCACUCGCUCGCUCACUCUCGGCACCUCCUCUGCCUGGGCUCCCACUUUGGCAGCACUUGAGGAGCCCUUCAGCUCUGUAUCUAGCUACUCUGA